rnacentral:rRNA from 1 species
AAGCGUUAAUCGGAAUGACUGGGCGUAAAGCGCACGCAGGCGGUUUGUUAAGCCAGAUGUGAAAGCCCCGGGCUCAACCUGGGAACUGCAUUUGGAACUGGCAAACUAGAGUCUUGGAGAGGGGGGUAGAAUUUCCGGUGUAGCGGUGAAAUGCGUAGAGAUCGGAAGGAAUACCAGUGGCGAAGGCGGCCCCCUGGCCAAAGACUGACGCUCAGGUGCGAAAGCGAGGGGAGCAAACAGGAUUAGAUACCCUGGUAGUCCACGCUGUAAACGAUGUCAACUUGGAGUCUGUGCCGAUUGAGCGCGGGUUCCGGAGCUAACGCGUUAAGUUGACCGCCUGGGGAGUACGGCCGCAAGGUUAAAACUCAAAUGAAUUGACGGGGGCCCGCACAAGCGGUGGAGCAUGUGGUUUAAUUCGAUGCAACGCGAAGAACCUUACCUACCCUUGACAUAGUAAGAAGUUUUCAGAGAUGAAUUCGUGCCUUCGGGAGCUUACAUACAGGUGCUGCAUGGCUGUCGUCAGCUCGUGUCGUGAGAUGUUGGGUUAAGUCCCGCAACGAGCGCAACCCUUGUCCUUUGUUGCCAGCGAUUCGGUCGGGAACUCACAGGAGACUGCCGGUGAUAAACCGGAGGAAGGUGGGGACGACGUACAGUCAUCAUGGCCCUUACGGGUAGGGCUACACACGUGCUACAAUGGCGCGUACAGAGGGCGGCGAACCAGCGAUGGUGAGCGAAUCCCAUAAAGCGCGUCGUAUUCCGGAUCGGAGUCUGCAACUCGACUCCGUGAAGUCGGAAUCGCUAGUAAUCGUGGAUCAGAAUGCCACGGU